rnacentral:rRNA from 1 species
GUGCAGCAGGCGAGAAAACUUCACACUGUGCGAAAGCACGAUGAGGGAAUCCCAAGUGCUUGCACGUAAGUGUAAGCUGUUUCUCUGUCUAAAACGCAGAGAGAGUAAGGGCUGGGUAAGACGGGUGCCAGCCGCCGCGGUAAUACCUGCAGCUCAAGUGGUGGCCGUUAUUAUUGGGCCUAAAACGUCCGUAGCCGGUUUAAUAAAUGCCUGGGUAAAUUGUGUAGCUUAACUAUACGAAUUCCGGGUAGACUGUUAAACUUGAGACCGGGAGAAGUUAGAGGUACUCCUGGGGUAGAGGUGAAAAUUCUGGUAAUCCUAGGGGGACCACCAGUGGCGAAGGCGUCUAACGUAGAACGGGUCUGACGGUGAGGGACGAAGCCCUGGGGCGCAAAACGGGGAUUAGAUACCCGUGUAGU